GAGAGAGAGUCAAAGACCGUGAAACCGCUCAGAGUAUAAGCCAAUGGAGCUUGGAAGGCUUCCGCAGUAACGAGCAUCAUGCGUGGUGUUUCGAAAGACCAGAGCGCGGGUACGUCAGGAGGAGCAUUGAGUUUGCCGACCAUCCGUCGUGCGGGGAGAACGGUUCGGGGGGCUCUCCGGCUUCGGCCGGAGAGGGCUCUCGGCCUUCUCCUUUUGAAUGGACGUUCAGAGUCUCUGUGUCUAAUGCGGUUAUGCCCACCACGGCACGUUGUGAGGUCACCCACAGGCUCAGACUGCCGAUCGCGCAUCCAGGACGAUGGCAACGAUGCGUGGUCAUUCUCUGCUCAGUUUGUGUCUAACAAACACACGCACACGAGCUUUGUCACGCGUGUCUAGUCCUGGGUCGGGCGGCGACCGAGAUAAACCUGGUACGAUCCUCUUGCGACGAGCUGCUUUCUGGCCAGACCGACGCCCAGGCGCUUCCACUGUGCCGGAAGUGCCAAACGCCAGGCGGUGUGAACCCAGCUGCAUUGUGCAAGGUCUCUCAGCCGGGCGUUGGUCUGAGUGGUGUUAAGUCCAGCACCAUCGGUCACGUCUCGAAACACGGGCCAAGGAGUAUAGCAUGUGUGCGAGUCUAAGGGUCUCCCAAAACCCGAAGGCGAAGUGAAAGCAAGACUGUGGCGGGGGAGCCACGGCGAACCCGCCGGCCUCGUGGCGCGCGCGCGCUCGCGCUCACACGUGCUCUCUCUCUCGGGAGCGCGCGCGUGUGUGCGUGUGGGUGUGUGUUUUCGCGUUGCCUGGCUUAUGGCAGAGCUGAUCCUGUUUUCUCGGUAAAUUCUUGGUGCAGGCGCAAGCUCCGGGCUCACGUACGACACUGGUUACCUCGCGUGGCUGUGUGGAGCA
rnacentral:rRNA from 1 species